UCCCUGGUGGCUGAGACAGUAAAGCGUCUACCUGCAAAGCAGGAAACCCGGGUUCGAUGCCCUGGAGAAGGAA
rnacentral:tRNA from 1 species